rnacentral:rRNA from 1 species
CCUACGGGAGGCUGCAGUGGGGAAUAUUGGACAAUGGGGGCAACCCUGAUCCAGCCAUGCCGCGUGUGUGAAGAAGGCCCUCGGGUUGUAAAGCACUUUCAGUGAGGAAGAACGCCUGGUGGUUAAUACCCAUCAGGAAAGACAUCACUCACAGAAGAAGCACCGGCUAACUCCGUACCAGCAGCCGCGGUAAUACGGAGGGUGCGAGCGUUAAUCGGAAUUACUGGGCGUAAAGCGCGCGUAGGUGGCUUGAUAAGCCGGUUGUGAAAGCCCCGGGCUCAACCUGGGAACGGCAUCCGGAACUGUCAAGCUAGAGUGCAGGAGAGGAAGGUAGAAUUCCCGGUGUAGCGGUGAAAUGCGUAGAGAUCGGGAGGAAUACCAGUGGCGAAGGCGGCCUUCUGGACUGACACUGACACUGAGGUGCGAAAGCGUGGGUAGCAAACAGGAUUAGAUACCCCGGUAGUC